rnacentral:rRNA from 1 species
UAAGGAAUAUUGGUCAAUGGACGCAAGUCUGAACCAGCCAUGCCGCGUGAAGGAUGAAGGUCCUCUGGAUUGUAAACUUCUUUUAUCUGGGACGAAAACGGGAUUUUUAUCUCAAUUGACGGUACCAGAGGAAUAAGCACCGGCUAACUCCGUGCCAGCAGCCGCGGUAAUACGGAGGGUGCAAGCGUUAUCCGGAUUCACUGGGUUUAAAGGGUGCGUAGGUGGGCAGAUAAGUCAGUGGUGAAAUCUUCCGGCUUAACCGGGAAACUGCCGUUGAUACUAUUUGUCUUGAAUAUUGCGGAGGUAAGCGGAAUAUGUCAUGUAGCGGUGAAAUGCUUAGAUAUGACAUAGAACACCAAUUGCGAAGGCAGCUUACUACACAAUCAUUGACACUGAGGCACGAAAGCGUGGGUAGCGAAUA